CCUUCGAUAGCUCAGCUGGUAGAGCGGAGGACUGUAGGCAACGCAUCUGUAGUAAUCCUUAGGUCGCUGGUUCGAUUCCGGCUCGAAGGA
rfam:Monodelphis domestica chromosome 1, whole genome shotgun sequence.